AUUGAACGCUGGCGGCAUGCCUUACACAUGCAAGUCGAACGGCAGCACGGGAGCAAUCCUGGUGGCGAGUGGCGAACGGGUGAGUAAUAUAUCGGAACGUGCCCAGUCGUGGGGGAUAACGUAGCGAAAGCUACGCUAAUACCGCAUACGAUCUACGGAUGAAAGCGGGGGGAUCGCAAGACCUCGCGCGAUUGGAGCGGCCGAUAUCAGAUUAGGUAGUUGGUGAGGUAAAAGGGCUCACCAAGCCGACGAUCUGUAGCUGGUCUGAGAGGACGACCAGCCACACUGGGACUGAGACAGGCCCAGACUCCUACGGAGGCAGCAG
rnacentral:rRNA from 1 species